GCAUUGACUAGUUUGGUUGCGAUAUCGGCGAAUAUCUUUUCACGUUACUCUACAUCCCGAAUAAAUGGAUUUCUUGACAAAUAUAUAUUUAUGGAUUAAGAGAGAACACUUCAAAAGGAGUCGUGGAGCAGAGGUGAAGGUGGUUGAGGUGGAGGUGGAGGAGUUCAUCAAAAGCUCCAUCAGUGACCAUGAUGGGUCAUAUGUCUGCAAAAGUCAGAAUACACAACCCUUUCAUUUUUACUGUGAACAACACAAGGCACGAGGAAAGUCGACAGGGCAGCCACAGGACACCAGGACAAACAGCUGUAAGGACUACAGUGCUUUUGGAAAGUAUUCAGACCCCUUGACUUUUUCCACUUUUUGUUACGUUACAGCCUUAUUCUAAAAUGGAUUAAAUAAAUAAAAAAUCCUCAGCAAUCUACACACAAUGCCCCAUAAUGACAAAGCGAAAACUGGUUUUUAGACAUUUUUUAAAAUGUUUAAAAAAUAAAAAAUGCCUUAUUUACAAAAGUAUUCAGCACCUUUGCUAUGAGACUCGAAAUUGAGCUCAGGUGCAUCCUGCUUCCAUUGGUCAUCCUUGAAAUGUUUUUAUAACUUGAUUGGAAUCCACCUGUGGUAAAUUCAAUUGAUUGGACAUGAUUUGAAAAAGAC
rnacentral:lncRNA from 1 species